rnacentral:rRNA from 1 species
AAUUCGAUUGAGUUUGAUCAUGGCUCAGAACGAACGCUGGCGGCGUGGAUAAGACAUGCAAGUCGAACGGGAUUUAUUUUGUAGCAAUACACGAUAGGUCCAGUGGCGUAAGGGUGCGUAACACGUGGGCAAUCUGCCGAGAAGUGGGGGAUAGCUCGCCGAAAGGCGAAUUAAUACCGCAUGUGGUCAGUGCUGGAUUCAGCGCGACACCAAAGCCGGGGCAACCUGGCGCUUCUUGAUGAGCCCGCGGCCUAUCAGCUAGUUGGUGAGGUAACGGCUCACCAAGGCUAUGACGGGUAGCUGGUCUGAGAGGACGACCAGCCACACUGGAACUGAGACACGGUCCAGACACCUACGGGUGGCAGCAGUCGAGAAUUUUUCUCAAUGGGGGAAACCCUGAAGGAGCGACGCCGCGUGGAGGAUGAAGGUCUUCGGAUUGUAAACUCCUGUCAUUUGGGAACAAUGUGCAUUGAUUAACUGUCGGUGCAUUGAUAGUACCAGAAGAGGAAGAGACGGCUAACUCUGUGCCAGCAGCCGCGGUAAUACAGAGGUCUCAAGCGUUGUUCGGAUUCAUUGGGCGUAAAGGGUGCGUAGGUGGCGGGGUAAGUCAGGUGUGAAAUCUCGGGGCUCAACCCUGAAACUGCACUUGAUACUGCCUUGCUCGAGUACUG